GCCGACGUAGCUCAGUUGGUAGAGCAAUUGUUUCGUAAACAAUAGGUCGCCGGUUCAAGUCCGGCCGUCGGCUCCA
rnacentral:tRNA from 1 species